rnacentral:lncRNA from 1 species
GCAAUAGUCCUCGGAGGUCAAACUGGUGAAGAAUGGAUGCUCAGUGAGCUUCAUGAACUAUCCUUAGCGAGCUCUGCCAUAUGAAUAAAAAGGAAAGGUAAUAAUCAAGAGAAGGUGUUGUGCUAAAUUCACAAUGAAAAUUUUGCCCCGAGAAUAAAGGGAGUCCCGAACAAACUAUUGCAGUGCAGUUUUUACAUUGCACCAAAUGCACAAAUGAUGAAUUCACAAUGAAAAUUUUGCCUCAAGAAUAAAGGGAGUCCCGAGCAAACUAUUGCAGUGCAGUUUUUACAUUGCACCAAAUGCACAAAUGAUUAGCAAGUAUCCUUGAAUUUGUGGCUGUCUUGUUUAUUCUUGUGUGACUCAUAGGGCAUGUUGAUCAGAUGGUUCUGUUGAGCAAAUGGUCUUAAUUGAGCUUAAUUUUGCAGGUUUGCAUGCGAUGAUUUCACUUGAUGCACUUGAAUUAUUCACCCUUUGAAAGCUAGCUGUAGCUUGAUAGAUCAGUAGGUUAUUCUGUAUUCUUAGGUUAGUUUGUAUUGUGUAUUGGAUGUGUGUGUUGUUCAACUUCUGUAAUUUGAAUCCCUUUGGGCAAACAUGGAAAAAAAGAAAAAGUAAAGGAAAAAAAGGUAAAGAUUUGUAGAACCAGAUGCAUGGAGGUUUGUAUUAGAUUUAUAAUUACCCUUUGUUAUGUUUAAUAACAGUUCAUGCAGUGACAUGUUUGUUGACUGCAUUCCCAGACUCGAACAGCUUAAUUAACCUCUUGCAGCAAGGCAAGCAAAUUGUUUUGAAAAGUCUCUUUAGAGGAUUUUUCAGUUCUUGCUCGCUCUCAGUUGUGCGAUUGCGUUAUAUAGGUGGUGUCAGUUGAAUGUAUUCUUAUGAUGUAAUGUACCAACACUGAAAAUCUAGAAUUUUUCUUAAUUUGGUUGAGUGAGGUGCAACUGUUUUACACUCGUAUGUUAUGUAAGUUUUUACUUGUAAUAUUUUUACUCGGGUAUAAUUUCUUCUGUUGUGUAUCAGGCUUGUUUAUGUUUACGGUUGUUUCAUACUGUAGCUCGUGUAGUAUCAUAAAGCUUUUUUUAAAGCUUUAUAUGGUGACUGAGAAUAGAAUUAUAUAUAUAAACUUCUGCGUUUUGUUGGGGAACAAAUGCUAGAAUACAUAUUUUGUUAUGAAAUCUCCUAUUUAAGGUGAAUGUCUAUAAUUAGAGAGAUUCUAGAGUUC